UCAUAAGGACCUAAUCAAGAGCUAUGGUUCCGCACCUAAUAGUAAGAUUGGUUGAUUUAUUUCAUUUUAUAUAUUUUCAUGGAUAUUGUUGUAUAUAUAUUUAUUUUUUAUUUAGGUUUCUUCAAAGAAUUGAUGGUAAGGUAGCUGCGGAACAGUAGCUCUUAGGUCUUUAUAAUAUAUCAUAAGGACCUAAUUAAGAGCUAUGGUUCCGCACCUAAUAGUAAGAUUGGUUGAUUUAUUUCAUUUUAUACAUUUUCAUGUGUAUAUGGUCGUAUAUAUAUUUAUUUUUUAUAUAGGUCUCUUCAAAGAAUUGAUGGUAAGGUAGCUGUGGAACCGUAGCUCUUAAGUCUUUAUAAUAUAUCAUAAGGACCUAAUUAAGAGCUAUGGUUCCGCACCUAAUAGUAAGAUUGGUUGAUUUAUUUCAUUUUAUAUAUUUUCAUGUGUAUAUGGUUGUAUAUAUAUUUAUUUUUUAUAUAGGUUUCUUCAAAGAAUUGAUGGUAAGGUAGCUGCGGAACCGUAGCUCUUAGGUCUUUAUAAUAUAUCAUAAGGACCUAAUUAAGAGCUAUGGUUCCGCACCUAAUAGUAAGAUUGGUUGAUU